rnacentral:rRNA from 1 species
AGAUUGAACGCUGGCGGCAUGCUUUACACAUGCAAGUCGAACGGUAACAGGCCGCGAGGUGCUGACGAGUGGCGAACGGGUGAGUAAUGUAUCGGAACGUGCCCAGUCGUGGGGGAUAACGCAGCGAAAGCUGCGCUAAUACCGCAUACGAUCUAAUGGAUGGAAAGGCGGGGGAACCUAAGGCCUCGCGCGAGUUGGAGCGGACCGAUAUCAGUAUUAGGUAGUUGGUAGGGGUUAAAGGGCUCGACCAAGCCAACGAUCGUGUAGCUAGGUCUGAGAGGACACCGAGCCGACACUGGACUGAGACACGGCCCAGACU